UUCGGGAACUCUGAGACAGGUGCUGCAUGGCUGUCGUCAGCUCGUGUUGUGAAAUGUUGGGUUAAGUCCCGCAACGAGCGCAACCCUUAUCCUUGUUUGCCAGCGAGUAAUGUCGGGAACUCCAGGGGGACUGCCGGUGAUAAACCGGAGGAAGGUGGGGACGACGUCAAGUCAUCAUGGCCCUUACGAGUAGGGCUACACACGUGCUACAAUGGCGCAUACAGAGGGC
rnacentral:rRNA from 1 species